AGCCUCCUAGGCUUAUCUUAUUAUUAUGGUGCCCUGGGGCCUAAUAUUAAUGUACACAUCAUGCAGCUAAACCACAGAAAAUACCAGGUCAUUGGGUGAAUAACUUGACUGCCUUCAAGGAGAAAUAAAAAGAGGUUCUGGUAAAAGGUGAUGUUAGAAUCCAGAUAGCUCUUCAGCCUGCACUUAAGUUCAGUGGUAGAGACCAUAUUACUCUUACCAUUUUAUGGACAAACCUCAGCCUCAGUGGUAGUGGAGGAUUGAAAGGGGAGUUUCUGGGAGCCAUCAAAUAUUAGUUUUGUUCCUUUGAUUAACUUAAGGAGAAGCUGACAGAUGUAUCUGUUAGUAUUCAAAGUUCCAGUUGUGGUUGGCUUGGUUUCAUUAAGUAAAAGAACUCUUAUAGAUCAUUGCUUGUCCUAAUCAGGAUCCAUUAUAAAGGUCAUCAGGACUUAUUCUACUUUUGGGGAUUGGUGUAUGGAAGUUCUCUUAACUGUCUUCAGCAUAAAAAAUGUCAGAGUUGAUUAUCCAAAAGCUUUUUUGGAGUGUAAUCAACUGAGAGAAUGUA
rnacentral:lncRNA from 1 species